UACGUAGGGGUCGAGCGUUGUCCGGAAUUACUGGGCGUAAAGCGCGCGCAGGCGGCUGAUCAAGCCUGACGUGAAAGCCCCCGGCUCAACCGGGGAAGGUCGUCGGGGACUGAUUGGCUUGAGGGCGGUAGGGGCCGGUGGAAUUCCCGGUGUAGUGGUGAAAUGCGUAGAGAUCGGGAGGAACACCAGUAGCGAAGGCGGCCGGCUGGGCCGACCCUGACGCUGAGGCGCGAAGGCGUGGGGAGCGAACGGG
rnacentral:rRNA from 1 species